rnacentral:tRNA from 2 species
CGCGGGGUGGAGCAGCUCGGUAGCUCGCUGGGCUCAUAACCCAGAGGUCGCAGGUUCAAAUCCUGCUCCCGCUA